UCAAUCAACAAAGAGUAUAUGGUGGAGAUCUAGGGACCUAGAGCCGAUGAAGGGCGUGAUAACCGACGAUAUGCUUCGGGGAGCAGGACGUAUGCUUUGAUCCGAAGAUUCCCGAAUAGGGCAACCUUAAACAUUCCUUCUUGAAUUCAUAGAGAAGAGAAAGACAACCCAGUGAACUGAAACAUCUUAGUAGCUGGAGGAAAAGAAAGCAAAAGCGAUUCCCAAAGUAGCGGCGAGCGGAAUGGGACCAGUCUAAAAGAAAAAUUUAUUUUUCUGGUUAUAGGACCAAACACUAAGGUAUAGAAAUUCUUGAGAAACGAAGCAGCUGAAUCCUGCGCCAUAGAUGGUGAAAGCCCAGUCGUUGAAUCUUGACUCAAUGCCGUUUGGCUCCCAAGUAGUAUGGGGCACGUGAAAUCCCGUAUGAAUUCGCCAGGACCACCUGGUAAGACUAAAUACUCCUAGGUCACCGAUAGCGAAAAGUACCGCGAGGGAAAGAUGAAAAGAACCCCUUUUCGGGGAGUGAAAUAGAACAUGAAACCGUAUACUUACAAUUGGUAGGAGGAUGAACACAUCUGACUGCAUGCCUGUUGAAGAAUGAUCUGGCGACUUACGGUAAGUGGCAUGGUUAAGAUUUUUCAUCGAAGCCAAAGCGAAAGCAUGUCUUAAUAGGGCACUCGUCCCUUAUCGUAGACCCGAACCCAGGUGAUCUAACCAUGACCAGAAUGAAGCUUUGGUGAUACGAAGUGGAGGUUCGAACCGACCGAUGUUGAAAAAUCGACGGAUGAGUUGUGGUUAGGGGUGAAAUGCCAAUCGAACUUGGAGCUAGCUGGUUCUCCUCGAAAUGCGUUGAGGCGCAGCGGUUAUUUAUGAACUCUCAGGGGGUAAAGCUCUGUUUCGGUGCGGGCUGCGAAAGCGGUACCAAUCUGUUGCAAACUCGGAAUACCUGAGAUGAUUUCAAAUAGCCAGUGAGACUAUGGGGGACAAGCUUCAUAGUCAAAAGGGAAACAGCCCAGACCAUCAGCUAAGGCUCCUAAAUAAAAGCUAAGUGGUAAAGGAGGUGAAAAUGCUGUGACAAUCAGGAGGUUUGCCUAGAAGCAGCCACCCUCUAAGGAGUGCGUAAUAGCUCACUGAUCAAGCGUUUUUGCGCCGAAAAUUUCCGGAACUAAGUUUUUUGCCGAAGCUAUGGAUAUAUUAUCUACAUAAUAUGUGGUAGAGGAGCGUUCCGCCCAGGGAGAAGCCAAGCGCGUAAGCCGCGGUGGACAGGGCGGAAGUGAGAAUGUCAGAUUGAGUAACGAAAACACUAGUGAGAAUCUAGUGCCCCGAAAACGUAAGGGUUCCUCUGCAAGGCUCGUCCUCAGAGGGUCAGUCAGGACCUAAGGUGAGGCCGAAAGGCGUAAUCGAUGGAAAGAAGGCUUAUAUUCCUUCACCGUUAUUUUAUUAGUCCUGAGGGACGAACAAAUGAAGCGAAAGAAAUUUGCCACCUUGGCAGGUGGGACAACAAAUUCCUUCUCUCUCCAUUUUUUCCAAGAAAAGCUCAUCGACUUUGAUAAAAUAGCGCCUGUACCGUAAACCGACACAGGUACGUGGGUUGAAUAAACUAAGGGGAGCGAGAUAACUCUCUCUAAGGAACUCGGCAAAUUGGCUCUGUACCUUCGGAAGAAAGAGUGCCCUGCAUAAGGGCCGCAGUGAAGAGAUCCAGGCGACUGUUUACCAAAAACACAGGUCUCCGCAAAGUCGUAAGACGAUGUAUGGGGGCUGACACCUGCCCAGUGCCGGAAGGUUAAGGAAGCUUGUUAGUCUUUGGACGAAGCUCGCGACCGAAGCCCCGGUGAACGGCGGCCGUAACUAUAACGGUCCUAAGGUAGCGAAAUUCCUUGUCGGGUAAGUUCCGACCCGCACGAAAGG
rnacentral:rRNA from 1 species